rnacentral:tRNA from 1 species
GCGGCCGUAGCUCAGUUGGUAGAGCGUCAGCUUCCCAAGCGAGAUGUCGAGGGUUCGAGUCCCUUCGGCCGCUCCA